rnacentral:snRNA from 1 species
GUGCUCCCUUUGGCAGCACACAUACUAAAACUGGAACGAUACAGAGAAGAUUAGCAUGGCCCCUGCUCAAGGAUGACACGCAAAUUUGUGAAGCAUUCCAUAUUUUU